ACAAGCUUAAAUUUUAAAGUUUAAAGCACAUUAUGAAAAUUGUGCUUUGAAUGGUUAAGAACACAUAAGAAAGGGAAACCAAGCUAGUCCAUUAAACUUCCUCUAUCCAUUUUAUUUAGGAUGGUAUGUUGUAAAAACAAAAUAAUAGUUUUCAGCAUUUAAAACUUUCCUGAUACAGAAAUAAAGCACAAGAUACAAGAUACAAAAUACAAUUUCUUAAAUGGGAAAGAAAUAUGCCUAAGUAGUAAAACCAAUUGAAAUGGAAUCUCAGUGGGGUACACUAACCUAUUCCACAUUUUGUAAUAAAGUGGAACAAGACCUCUAAAAUUAAACUCAAUCACUAAGUUAAAAAAACAGAAUCAGCACAAAAUCUGCUAAAAUGUCCUACUAAUGGGUUUAAAGUUUUGAUUUCCCAUCUAAUGAGGAUUAGAAAGUGUUGCUUCUCUUCCAGUUCAGAGGAUUCUGAUACAGAGACGAUUAGUUAUACCUUAAUUUGUGUACUGUGAC
rnacentral:lncRNA from 1 species